AGCGAACGCUGGCGGCAGGCCUAACACAUGCAAGUCGAACGAACCCUUCGGGGUUAGUGGCGGACGGGUGAGUAACACGUGGGAACGUGCCUUUAGGUUCGGAAUAACUCAGGGAAACUUGUGCUAAUACCGAAUGUGCCCUUCGGGGGAAAGAUUUAUCGCCUUUAGAGCGGCCCGCGUCUGAUUAGCUAGUUGGUGAGGUAAAGGCUAACCAAGGCUACGAUCAGUAGCUGGUCUGAGAGGAUGACCAGCCACAUUGGGACUGAGACACGGCCCAAACUCCUACGGGAGGCAGCAGUGGGGAAUCUUGCGCAAUGGGCGAAAGCCUGACGCAGCCAUGCCGCGUGGAUGAUGAAGGUCUUAGGAUUGUAAAAUCCUUUCACCGGUGAAGAUAAUGACUGUAGCCGGAGAAGAAGCCCCGGCUAACUUCGUGCCAGCAGCCGCCGUAAUAC
rnacentral:rRNA from 1 species